rnacentral:lncRNA from 1 species
CUCUUACAUAGAGAUUUAAAAAUACACACUUAAGAUGGAGUACAUGCUAAUCACUCUCCUAUAAUUUGAACACUACAUUAGACAAUAUUAAGGAUGAUUUGCAUGUUUGAUACUCCUAUUCCCGAUUAACAAUGCUUGCAGUACGUUUCACCACUUCCAUUGGUGCUGUGGCAUUGUCCAUGUCAUGGUUUUCUGGGAAUAGGUUUAGUUCUGAGGCUGUUGAGCUGGCUUGUUUGCUGAGCAUCACAUUUAUUGCUCUGGACUUUGCUAUUACCAUUUUUCACACAUGGUUAUAAUCUGAUCUCCAAAGUCUCUCCUGAUUAUAAAAAUGUUGGUUUUAAUGCUGUGUUUUUAAUUCAUCAGCAUAAAACUAUUACUGGGAUUCCAAACAUGGUUAUCGGAAUGAUAACCUCAGUUGGUAAACUGCUGUGCUGACAUAAGGACCUGAGUGGAUUAGUAGGACUCAUG